rnacentral:rRNA from 1 species
AGAGUUUGAUCAUGGCUCAGAACGAACGCUGGCGGCAGGCCUCAAACAUGCAAGUCUAGGGGGUGUAGCAAUACAUCACCGGCGGACGGGUGCGUAACACGUGGGAAUAUACCUUUUGGUUCGGAACAACGCAGGGAAACUUGUGCUAAUACCGAAUGUGCCCUUACGGGGAAAGAUUUAUCGCCAAAGGAUUAGCCCGCGUAGGAUUAGCUAGUUGGUGAGGUAAUGGCUCACCAAGGCUCCGAUCCUUAGCUGUUCUGAGAGGAAGAUCAGCCACACUGGGACUGAGACACGGCCCAGACUCCUACGGGAGGCAGCAGUUGGGAAUCUUGGACAAUGGGGGAAACCCCUGAUCCAGCCAUGCCGCGUGAGUGAUGAAGGCCUUCGGGUUGUAAAACUCUUUCGACGGGGACGAUAAUGACGGUACCCGUAGAAGAAGCUCCGGCUAACUUCGUG